rnacentral:rRNA from 1 species
UCCUACGGGAGGCUGCAGUGAGGAAUAUUGGUCAAUGGGCGUAGGCCUGAACCAGCCAAGUAGCGUGAAGGAUGACUGCCCUAUGGGUUGUAAACUUCUUUUAUAAGGGAAUAAAGUGGAGUAUGUAUACUCUUUUGUAUGUACCUUAUGAAUAAGGAUCGGCUAACUCCGUGCCAGCAGCCGCGGUAAUACGGAGGAUCCGAGCGUUAUCCGGAUUUAUUGGGUUUAAAGGGAGCGUAGGCGGAUGUUUAAGUCAGUUGUGAAAGUUUAAGGCUCAACCUUGAAAUUGCAGUUGAUACUGGACGUCUUGAGUGCAUUAAAUGUGGGCGGAAUUCGUGGUGUAGCGGUGAAAUGCUUAGAUAUCACGAAGAACUCCAAUUGCGAAGGCAGCUCACAGGACUGUAACUGACGCUGAUGCUCGAAAGUGUGGGUAUCAAACAGGAUUAGAUACCCUAGUAGUC